GCUUGUAGGNGGUUUGUCGCGUNUGCUGUGAAANNCCCGGGGCUCAACCCCNGGGUNUGCAGUGGGUACGGGCAGACUAGAGUGCAGUAGGGGAGACUGGAAUUCCUGGUGUAGCGGUGAAAUGCGCAGAUAUCAGGAGGAACACCGAUGGCGAAGGCAGGUCUCUGGGCUGUUACUGACGCUGAGGAGCGAAAGCAUGGGGAGCGAACAGGAUUAGAUACCCUGGUAGUCCAUGCCGUAAACGUUGGGCACUAGGUGUGGGGGACAUUCCACGUUCUCCGCGCCGUAGCUAACGCAUUAAGUGCCCCGCCUGGGGAGUACGGCCGCAAGGCUAAAACUCAAAGGAAUUGACGGGGGCCCGCACAAGCGGCGGAGCAUGCGGAUUAAUUCGAUGCAACGCGAAGAACCUUACCAAGGCUUGACAUUCACCGGACCGCACUGGAGACAGUGUUUCCCUUCGGGGUCGGUGGACAGGUGGUGCAUGGUUGUCGUCAGCUCGUGUCGUGAGAUGUUGGGUUAAGUCCCGCAACGAGCGCAACCCUCGUUCUAUGUUGCCAGCACGUGAUGGUGGGGACUCAUAGGAGACUGCCGGGGUCAACUCGGAGGAAGGUGGGGAUGACGUCAAAUCAUCAUGCCCCUUAUGUCUUGGGCUUCACGCAUGCUACAAUGGCCGGUACAAAGGGUUGCGAUACUGUGAGGUGGAGCUAAUCCCAAAAAGCCGGUCUCAGUUCGGAUUGAGGUCUGCAACUCGACCUCAUGAAGUCGGAGUCGCUAGUAAUCGCAGAUCAGCAACGCUGCGGUGAAU
rnacentral:rRNA from 1 species